AUGACAUUUUCCAAAAAAAUGGUAUUACAGAAUUUUUUUAUAUUUUGCUAAUUGUUAGCUUUUCGUCCAAGUAAAAUAAUGCAAGAAAACAAAUUGGGGGUCACCAUGCUUCUUUUCGAACAAAACGAGACGAUUUGGAGUGAAUUUCGUAUACGUAUGUCGUCAUAGCAACGAACUAUCUGUUACUAAAACUAAUAUAAUUUGAAAGUAGAGAUAUCAAAAUAUAUAAAAACCUCAAUAUCUGUUGAAUAAAUCCUAAAAAUGCG